rnacentral:rRNA from 1 species
UAGGGAAUCUUCGGCAAUGGGGGGAACCCUGACCGAGCAACGCCGCGUGAGUGAAGAAGGUUUUCGGAUCGUAAAGCUCUGUUGUUAAGGAAGAACGAGUGUGAGAAUGGAAAGUUCAUACUGUGACGGUACUUAACCAGAAAGGGACGGCUAACUACGUGCCAGCAGCCGCGGUAAUACGUAGGUCCCGAGCGUUGUCCGGAUUUAUUGGGCGUAAAGCGAGCGCAGGCGGUUAGAAAAGUCUGAAGUGAAAGGCAGUGGCUCAACCAUUGUAGGCUUUGGAAACUGUUUAACUUGGGUGCAGAAGGGGAGAGUGGAAUUCCAUGUGUAGCGGGGAAGUGCGUAGAUAUAUGGAGGAACACCGGUGGCGAAAGCGGCUCUCUGGUCUGUAACUGCCGCUGAGGCUCGAAAGCGUGGGGAGCGAACAGG